GAUGAAGACGCAGCGAAAUGCGAUAAGUAGUGUGAAUUGCAGAAUUCAGUGAAUCAUCGAAUCUUUGAACGCACAUUGCGCCCCUUGGUAUUCCAUGGGGCAUGCCUGUUCGAGCGUCAUUUGUACCUUCAAGCUUUGCUUGGUGUUGGGUGUUUGUCCCGAGGGACUCGCCUUAAAGUAAUUGGCAGCCAGUGUUUGGUUUUGAAGCGCAGCACAAGUCGCGAUUCAAGGCUACACGCCCGCUUCCACAAGCCUUUUUUCACUUUUGACCUCGGAUCAGGUAGGGAUACCCGCUGAACUUAAGCAUAUCAAUAAGCGGAGGA
rnacentral:misc_RNA from 1 species